rnacentral:snRNA from 1 species
AGCUUUGCACAGUGGCAAUGUUGUAGCCAAUGAGGUCCAUCCGAGGCACGGUUUUUGCUAAUUGAAAACUUUCCCAAUACCCGACCAUGACGACAUGAAAUACAGUAGGCAGUGGCAAGUUUUGAAGGUCUCUGUGGAGA